UAUAUAUUUUUAAAGUAUAUAGUAAAGAUAUAAAUGCAAAAUAAAAACAUUUAUAUAAUUAGUAAAGGAGAUUAAAGUUUAUUCUAUACUUAUAUUAAGUACUGAAAAGGAAAAAGACAAUCGUAAUAAAGAAAAAAUCAAAUUUUGUACCUUUUGCAUCAUGGUUUAGCUAGAUUUAAAUUUUUUAUAAAAAAUUUCUCGAAACUUAGUGAGCUAUUUUUUAUUUUAGUGGUAUUAGCAAAGCAAAAGUGAUUGUGGCAAAAAUCUUUUUAAAAUUUAAGAUAGAAAUGAAAUUUUUUCCGUACUAAGUGAUAGCUAGUUCUUUCCUCAAAGUAUAUAAGUACUGUAGGUUGGUUGUAUACGGUGUUUACUUGACACUCUGUAUAAGAUUUCUAACUCAAUGAGAUUUUAGAGGAUAAGCUCUAAAAUAAAAAAUUAAAAUUACAUAAAUGUAUUUGUAAAUUUAAGCUUGAAAAUAGCUAUAAAUUGAGAUUUUGUUAUAAUUUCAUUAACAAUUUUAACAUAUAAUAGAUUUGUUUUGUGAGGAGGAAAGAAACCCUGAGAAUUAAAUAAACAGGGUGAUAUUAUGCUAAAAUGAGUAUUUUGAUCUCUUUAAACUUUUAAUAAACAGGAUAAUAAAAUUUUUAUCCUGNUUUUAAAGUUAAAUUACAAAAAGGAACUCGGCAAAGGCAUAUUCNGCCUGUUUAUCAAAAACAUGGCUCCUUGUAAUAUANAAUAGGGAGUCGGACCUGCCCGGUGAAUUUUUUUAACGGCCGCGGUACUCUGACCGUGCAAAGGUAGCAUAAUCAUUUGCCUUAUAACUGAAGGCUAGUAUGAAUGGUUUGACAAGAAUGUGACUGUCUCUUUGUAAUUAAUUAGAAUUUUAUUUUCAGGUGAAGAAGCCUGUAUGUAAUUGAAAGACAAGAAGACCCUAUCGAGCUUGAAAGAAGUUGAUAAGCGUAAUUUUUAAUAAAGCAUUAAUAUUAUUAUCAAAAAUUUUAGUUGGGGCGACUAAGGAACAGAAAAAGCUUCCUUUACAACUUAAAUUAAAACGAGCAGGUACUGAUCCAGAAAUUUUGAUUAAAGAAAUUAGUUACCGUAGGGAUAACAGCAUUAUCUCCUUUGAGAGUUCACAUCGAAAAGGGGGUUUGUGACCUCGAUGUUGGACCAGAAUAUCCUAAAGAUGCAGCCGUCUUUAAGGGUUGGUCUGUUCGACCAUUAAAAUUCUACGUGAUCUGA
rnacentral:rRNA from 1 species